rnacentral:snRNA from 1 species
CUUUGUUUGAAUUACAUAA